AGCGAACGCUGGCGGCAGGCUUAACACAUGCAAGUCGAGCGGGCAUCUUCGGAUGUCAGCGGCAGACGGGUGAGUAACACGUGGGAACGUACCCUUCGGUUCGGAACAACUCUGGGAAACUGGAGCUAAUACCGGAUACGCCCUUAUGGGGAAAGGUUUACUGCCGGAGGAUCGGCCCGCGUCUGAUUAGCUAGUUGGUGGGGUAACGGCCUACCAAGGCGACGAUCAGUAGCUGGACUGAGAGGAUGAUCAGCCACACUGGGACUGAGACACGGCCCAGACUCCUACGGGAGGCAGCAGUGGGGAAUAUUGGACAACGGGCGCAAGCCUGAUCCAGCCAUGCCGGGUGAGUGAUGAAGGCCUUAGGGUUGUAAAGCUCUUUUGUCCGGGACGAUAAUGACGGUACCGGAAGAAUAAGCCCCGGCUAACUUCGUG
rnacentral:rRNA from 1 species